rnacentral:tRNA from 1 species
GGGGAUUUAGCUCAGCGGCAUGAGCGCCUGCCUUGCAAGCAGGCAGUCAUGAGUUCAAGCCCUG